UUGAUUAUUUUACGAAGUGGACGGAGGCUUAUCCACUGCAGAGUAAAAAUGCCAAUGAGGUCACUGAAUGUACUCUAGACUUUUUUUUACAAAUUCGGUGCACCCAAAAGGAUUUUGACCGACAAUGGACUAGAAUUUGUCAAUCAGAUCAACUAUCAAAUAUGUGACAAACUGGGGAUCAAAAGGAGUUUGUGCUCGUCCUACCAUCCCCAGACGAAUGGUUUGGUCGAGAAGCUGAAUGGGAUUACUCAAAGGACCUUGACAAAGUUGGUGGCGGAGAAACCUAAUAGUUGGGACAGCCACCUCGGCCACACUCUUUGCACUCAGAACCAAAAAGCAGCUGACUACAAGGUUCUCACCUUACUUUCUGAUGUUUGGUCGGGAGGCCAGGUAUCCCACUGAGGUUCCCAAAGCG